GACCCGUUAGUCAAGCGGUUAAGACACUAUCUUCUCAAGGUAGAAACAGGAGUUCGAGUCUCUUACGGGUUACCA
rnacentral:tRNA from 1 species